GAUACUAUAUAUAACAACAUAAACUUCACAUUAACUUUAUUGUAUGACAGGGAAAUUGAAGAGGUGAAGUAUGUUCGGCAUAUCAUUGAAGAGGUCCAAGCGAAAAUUAAUCGUUCUCAUUUACGUGUCGAAUGUAAUGAUGUUAUUACCCAUAUGGAUCAUUGCUUAGUCCAAAAUGACAGAAGCAUGGAUUGGGAUCCUAUGAUCGACGAAUGCCAACAAGUGCGAUACACAGGGAAACGACGAUUUGUCUCACGUAACCCAAGUCAUGGAUCCAAUUGCUUGUGUGGUAUAAUCUCCUCAGUCUCUUCUUACUGUUCAGAUGCUCUGUGAAUUUGUCAUGUUCUCCCUUCCCCAAGAUUUUGAGAGUUCAGCCAGCCCGAGACACACAUCUUGCAAAGGUCCUGAGAUACACUCAUUUUGCUAGCUGGGGCAGAGGAGGAAAAACAUAAUUACACAACCAUGCCAAAUAAAUAAAGAGCUGAUAAACUUUGGGGAUUGACCUGUAGAUUCUUGGGGUACGACUUCAGCCAUCAAUUCAUUGGUAUCAAUAAAAGCAAACUUAAUUCGAUCAUUUUAGUUC